GACGAACGCUGGCGGCGUGCUUAACACAUGCAAGUCGAACGGAAAGGCCCUGCUUGCCGGGUACUCGAGUGGCGAACGGGUGAGUAACACGUGGGUGAUCUGCCCUGCACUUCGGGAUAAGCCGGGGAAACUGGGUCUAAUACCGGAUAUGACCUUCCAUGUAGUGUGGGGGGUGGAAAGAUUUAUCGGUGUGGGAUGAGCCCGCGGCCUAUCAGCUUGUUGGUGGGGUAAUGGCCUACCAAGGCGUCGACGGGUAGCCGGCCUGAGAGGGUGGACGGCCACAUUGGGACUGAGAUACGGCCCAGACUCCUACGGGAGGCAGCAGUGGGGAAUAUUGCACAAUGGGCGGAAGCCUGAUGCAGCGACGCCGCGUGGGGGAUGACGGCCUUCGGGUUGUAAACCUCUUUCGACAGGGACGAAGCUUCGGUGACGGUACCUGUAUAAGAAGCACCGGCUAACUACGUG
rnacentral:rRNA from 1 species